rnacentral:rRNA from 1 species
AUUGAACGCUGGCGGCAUGCUUUACACAUGCAAGUCGAACGGCAGCGCGGGCUUCGGCCUGGCGGCGAGUGGCGAACGGGUGAGUAAUACAUCGGAACGUGCCCAGUAGUGGGGGAUAGCUCGGCGAAAGCCGGAUUAAUACCGCAUACGACCUGAGGGUGAAAGCGGGGGAUCUUCGGACCUCGCGCUAUUGGAGCGGCCGAUGGCAGAUUAGCUAGUUGGUGGGGUAAAGGCCUACCAAGGCGACGAUCUGUAGCUGGUCUGAGAGGACGACCAGCCACACUGGGACUGGGACACGGCCCAGACUCCUACGGGAGGCAGCAGUGGGGAAUGUUGGACAAUGGGCGAAAGCCUGAUCCAGCAAUGCCGCGUGUGUGAUGAAGGCCUUCGGGUUGUAAAGCACUUUUGGCGGGAACGAAAAGGACUGUGCCAAUACCACGGUUCGAUGACGGUACCCGCAGAAUAAGCACCGGCUAACUACGUG